rnacentral:rRNA from 1 species
CCUACGGGAGGCAGCAGUCGAGAAUCAUUCACAAUGGGCGAAACCCUGAUGGUGCGACGCCGCGUGGGGGAAUGAAGGUCUUCGGAUUGUAAACCUCUGUCAUGUGGGAGCAAAUUAAAAAGAUAGUACCACAAUAGGAAGAGACGGCUAACUCUGUGCCAGCAGCCGCGGUAAUACAGAGGUCUCAAGCGUUGUUCGGAAUCACUGGGCGUAAAGCGUGCGUAGGCUGUUUCGUAAGUCGUGUGUGAAAGGCGCGGGCUCAACCCGCGGACGGCACAUGAUACUGCGAGACUAGAGUAAUGGAGGGGGAACCGGAAUUCGCGGUGUAGCAGUGAAAUGCGUAGAUAUCGAGAGGAACACUCGUGGCGAAGGCGGGUUCCUGGACAUUAACUGACGCUGAGGCACGAAGGCCAGGGGAGCGAAAAGGAUUAGAUACCCUUGUAGUC